rnacentral:rRNA from 1 species
UACAGAGGGUGCGAGCGUUAAUCGGAAUUACUGGGCGUAAAGGGCGUGUAGGCGGAUACAUAAGUCAGCUGUAAAAUACCUAGGCUUAACUUAGGGAGGUCGGAUGAAACUGUGUGUCUAGAGUGGAGUAGAGGGUAGUGGAAUUUCCGGUGUAGCGGUGAAAUGCGUAGAUAUCGGAAGGAACACCAGUGGCGAAGGCGGCUACCUGGACUCAAACUGACGCUGAGGCGCGAAAGCGUGGGGAUCGAACAGG